AAAACUCAUUAUUCCAUCAACAUCAACCUCACACUAUCAAAGAAAACUUCAAAGCACUCGAGCAAAAAAAUUGUUCCGCCAUCAACUCUUGCCGUCCCAAAAACCUUUAAUGACCUUGAAGGAGAUUUUUUAUAACAACGAACUUUUUGUUCGGUGGAUUCAUUGUUGGGAAACCCGCAACUUUCAAAAGCCAAACUUAUUCAUGGGAAUUUCUUUUCUUUUCAUAGACUCAAAGGUAUUUUUACAAAUUUAAAUUAAUCUAAUCCAUAAUUUUAUUGUUAAUAUUCAUACUAACUCUUUCAUGAUCAAACCAUUACAGUUAAUAACCAUUCAAACUCUUAUCCCAAAACACUUCAUUCCUUGCCGAAUCAGGUAUUUGUUCAUGUUGGUUUAGUAUUG
rnacentral:lncRNA from 1 species